rnacentral:rRNA from 1 species
UACGUAGGGCGCAAGCGUUAUCCGGAAUUAUUGGGCGUAAAGAGCUCGUAGGCGGUUUGUCGCGUCUGCCGUGAAAGUCCGGGGCUCAACUCCGGAUCUGCGGUGGGUACGGGCAGACUAGAGUGAUGUAGGGGAGACUGGAAUUCCUGGUGUAGCGGUGAAAUGCGCAGAUAUCAGGAGGAACACCGAUGGCGAAGGCAGGUCUCUGGGCCACUACUGACGCUGAGGAGCGAAAGCGUGGGGAGCGAACAGG